GUUGGUUUGGUGUUUUUUUUUCCUUGCAUUUCCGACAGCCACCCAAGAACCAGCUGGUAGAGAUUUAACCCGCUCCAAUCCCAUCUCCCACCAUGGAAAACUGCCCACAGCCAAGCCGUUGGACAAGCCGCCAGUUCCCAUUCCUACUCCCCGGGAACAGGCGCAGCAGAAAGGGCUUGCGCCUUUGAGUUCUUCAAAUUAAUAACCCUGGGAAGGGAAGGGCAGAGAGCCGGCAGAUGAAAGGCAAGGUACGGACUUUGAUCGUGCAAUCGGAGCCAUGCGGGCAGGCUCCCGAACCAUGUGGAGCACCACUGAAGGUCAGCCUGGGCUGAUCAGAUUGCAGCAGGAGAGCCACAGAAAGCAGGGCAAACGGAGGUGGAAAAAUCUAUACACAUCUGCCAAGAGAUGAAAGAAAAGUUUGCCUCCGAUGCUGGGAUUUAUGAAUAAGAUCCUCUGGCUGCACAACACCAUGUGCAUGAACACCAUGUUCAUUCACCUGUGAAUGAACACUUUUCAUGAGGAAGAAAGAGCACAUGGAAAAGUGAUUGCUCUGCUACUUCUGAACUCUGGAAUUCUCUUGAUGUGCUGUUACAAGCCAGAAAAGAUCACACAGAGCACUGCAUACGAACAUACACAGGCUUUAUCCAGUGAUCUCUUUUGAAGCAAACCUGAAAAAGGCUGUAGAUGGUGUACACAUUACAGCUAUUAAAGGUCAUGGAUAAGACAGCUAUUUAUUAGUUCAAGUAAGGUCAGUGUUACAUCCACAGGCAGAGAGCUCUGCCUGUUGCACAAGUGACAGUGUCUGCCCUUAAUGUCCCGAGAAACUUUUGACAAGCUAAGCAUAUAUAACAAGCCACAAACCUUACAUACAACUGCUGCAGUUCAUUAAUGUUCAACAGGAAGGUAUCAUAUCUGAAAUGGGUUCCAUUUCUGUAUCAUAGUGCAUUUCCUCUCCUCCAAGCUCUCCACUGGUGACUGCUGACAAAGAAAUUGUAUCCCCUGAUGGAGAAAGAAAGCUCACUAACUAGUAAAUUGGUGGCUGUGGCUCUUCCCAAGAACCAUUCUCCUUUGCUGCUAUUUAGGAAUAUUCUACCCCACAUACUAAACUAUUGGUUCAUUUACUUUCUUUAUACACACGGAAAAUGGGACCUUGGAAAACAAUUCGUGCCAGUUUUAGACUUCUACUGGAACUAAAAUCAGGGUCUUGGUUGAAUUCCAAACCCAGUUUUUGGAGGAAAACUGUUAUAUAACUCUUUCCCUUUCUGGGAGACAGCCGUCGUAGAAGAGCUUGUGAGAAGCAGUCAAAUCUCUUGCAGGUCUUGAGACAUAUGGCAAAGUAGGAGAGCAGAAGGUUACCUUAAGGUCAGGGUGUUUCCCAUCCUUAUGUGGUAUAUUCAAAUGCUACAGGCAGGCAGGAACACUUCUGCUACAUUCACCUCCAAGAAACAUCUUCUCACUUUAAGUAAUUUGCCCUGCUAAAUCCUGCUCUACAGACAGUAUCUUCUUCCUGGAAACUUUGUUAUUAUAAACAAACAAGGGCAAAGAAAUGAAGAAUAAUCUUUAACGCCUGUCCCUAAAUAUCCAAUCUACCUUUCAAGAACUAAAGAUCUCACCAUACUUGGCACGGAAGCUGGACAAAAGAGAUGAAGUUUGAAACCCAGAUACUGCAACUCAGCCCUUCAAACAGGAAAGCAAACUCAAGAAGUAGUAGGUUGGAUCUUAGAACCAUUUAGUCAUUUAGGUUAGAAAUAUCUCCAAGAUCAUCGAGUCCAACCACUAACACGGUGCUGACAAAUCCACCAUUGAACUAUGUCCCUAAGUACCAUGUUUACCCAUCUUCUAAAUACUUCCAGAGAUGGUGACUCAACCACUUCCCUAGGCAGCCUGUUUGAAUGCUGAAGAAUCCCUUUGUUCUUUUAUUCUAAAUCAAAUCGAAUAUAAAAUUGUCAUAGAAACAAUUAAGAGAAGGCCAGGAUCAUGCUGCAGAGAAGUCCUGAAAGUGUAUUCAGCUGUCCAUGAAUAGUGAAAAUACACAUGAACUUUACAAAGUGACUCCGUGGAUGACUCCUGUAGGAUUUCUCUUUAAUUGUAAGAACAAAAAGGGGAAAAAUUAGAUGUUAAGUCUUUCUCACUGUUUUCACAGCUUAAAUACCUAUGGGCACUAAAUCAACACAAGUACAAUGAUGAAAUUAGUAAGUAAACAACUACAACCUUCACUGCUGCACAAAGAAGCUUGAAACCAAAGGAAGAUCAAUAUGAGUAAUUCCAACUCCAAAUUUGUAAACCAAAUCCAGAAGAAAAUGUCUCCUUACAAGAGAUCAUAUUGGGGCCCAAAUGGCUUCAAGACAAAGUGUAAAUGAACCACUCUCCUCUGUGAAGGCUCAAAAUUGGCUGCUCAAGUUAACCACCCGUGAGUUUUCCCACAGAAGCAGGAGCUUGAAGAGACUGUUACUGCUGGCACCACAUUCCCUGCAAUGACCUGGCAGCGUGUGAUUACCACAUAAACUUCUCUCUCCUCCCCCAAAAACAAACACAAAAUGAAGGAUGCUGUCAAUGCCAUUAGGCACUGGAGAUCACUGCAGCUGUAUCUCCCUACAUUUACUUUCUUCUUGCAGGAUUAUUUUAACAGACUAUUAAAUAAAGUUAACUAGCAAUGAAACAAGAACUGAUUACAAACAUCUCAAUUUUCUAAAGCUGAACUCCCACCCUCUAUCACUGGAGUAAAAGUCCAAGUGAUGAAAUAAACCUUGAACUUUGUAGCUUUACUCAUCAUUUUUGGAAACAAAUGAGCACCUUGUCCCAGACACCGCAAUUCAGCAACUUCAUCUGUAUACGUGUCAGAAAGAGGGAGCAGAAAACUCCAGCCAGCCAGUAUCCAAACAAGAGCAUUCCCCUGAUCAACGUCACUUACUGGAAUUGCACUUGGAAAGGACGCACACCAGUGCAGUUACUAUCACACCACCAUGACCCAGUUCCGGGAAGGAAGCUGUGCUCCCAACCCAGUGGUCUCAAAAAGUGGGCCACAUGAGCAGCAACCAAUCAUCUAGGUAAAAAAUGAGUGGGAGAAUGAAAAGGAGGAGCUAUUUACGACCAACAGGUUCAGCAAAACUCAACCUGCAUUAUCCUGCUAGCUCUCCCAGAAGCAAGUGAGCAGGAAAGAUGACAAAGAGGUUUGAACUGGAACUCACUGACAGAGGAACGAGGGGCUUGUAAGGACCGUAGCCUUCUCAGCUUCCAAAGUCCCCAAAGGAAUAAUGGGUACCUUGUGAAUGUGUACUGGUUCUCUCUCUAAUCUCAGCCACCUCAGUUGUUCCUGAACACUAAACUCCGUUUCAUUGAAGAAAAAGGAUAACAGAAUUUCUGUCUUCCUGGUGUAGAACAUUCAGCUGCCACAAAAGACAACACUGCAGAUACAGGAAAAGAGAACUAUUUAAAUAAGUAUUUUUCCCAUUUUUUGUCCAAGGUAAUUCCAAAUAAUGAGCAAGGGGAGGGAAGUUCACUAUGUUAUAUGGGUUCAUCCUAAAUUGGAUUGCAAGAUAUAUUAGAAAAAGAUAGAUUUAAAUAUGAUUGAGUAAAAAUUCCUACCUGGGCUUGAAACUAUCAUAAUUAGACUUUUCAAUGUUUUUUGUCCUGUUACAGUCUGAUUUAAACCAGGUAUAAUACAAUUUUGAAUCAUAUUCAAACAAGGUACCUCAACCAAUUUAAACUAUAUUUAGAUCGCAGUAUUUUUACUACUAAAGAAACCUAACAGAGGAACAACAUGCUUGGAACAUCUGUCGCAGUGAUUGAAAGAAGUCUAUGACAGGAAUAGCAAACAGUUAUUUUCUUUCCUGAAAUGAUGUCAAUCUGUUGAAGCAAAGUAUCAGUGAAGUAUAUUGUUUCUAAGAGGUACCUCACUCUGGCCUGUCUUCUCCAAAUGAAGAUGAUUAAAAUACCCCCUUGCUGCA